CGUGUCGUGAGAUGUCAGGUUAAGUCCUGUAACGAGCGCAACCCUCGUCGUUAGUUAUACGUGUCUAACGAGACUGCCCGUGAUAAGCGGGAGGAAGGUGAGGAUGACGUCAAGUCAGCAUGGCCUUUAUAUCCUGCGCUACACACACGCUACAAUGGCCAGUACAAUGGGCAGCCAAGCCGCGAGGCGGAGCCAAUCCCGUAGAGCUGGUCUCAGUUCGGAUUGCAGGCUGCAACUCGCCUGCAUGAAGUCGGAGUUGCUAGUAACCGCGCGUCAGCCAUAGUGCGGUGAAUACGUUCCCGGGGAUU
rnacentral:rRNA from 1 species